AACCAUAGAAACCUGCGGAGUACCUGCGGAAGGAUCAUCAUUGAAAACAAAUUUGGACAAGGGGAUUGUGAUUGACGGGGGGGAGGGGAAAGUUUUAUUUCCUGAGCCUUGAGAGAACAACCUCUUGGACAAAAACAACCAAUCUUCAUGACUAGGAAAAAACACAGUAAAGUAAACCAGUGGUUUGGGGGGGGGGCAUAAACAACAAACAAGUUCUUGUCUGACAAGUAGUGUUUGGUG
rnacentral:misc_RNA from 1 species